rnacentral:lncRNA from 1 species
GACUUACAGGAGUACCUUCAAUGACCCUCACAUCUGUUCUGCCUGAAGGAGACAGCCAUGUGUCUGGCAUGGACAUAUCGAUUACAUGUACCAGAUGCCAAAAGCAGAAGACACGAGCAGAUCCACUGGUGUAGAACAUCCAGGAGAAAUGUGCUCUCAUUAGAGACGAGGUUCAGCUUCUGCUAAAGGCAUGAUCGUAGUUACAGAUGGCAGAUUCAUGAUGGUACUCAGAGAAGCUGAUAAGGAAAGAGCUGGCCACCACACCCUUGGGGUCUAAUGAAAUUUCCCAGCCGUAGGAAGUUCCAGCCAGCAUCAUGGAUUCUUCCUUAUGGGAAAGUUGAACUUCUAAGCCACUAUCAACACUCACUUGCUGUGUGUGUGUGUGUGUGUGUUUCUGUGUUAGGAUGUUCUAUUGUUACUAGCAUUAUCACCAAGUAGACUAACAGACUACCCCACACAGCAAGGUAUGAGGAGCCCAGAUUGGGCUUGCUUGUGGUGGAACAUUUACCUGGUUGUUGAUCCUCUGUAAACCUUUGGCCUCCCUGAGCUUCCAUAUGCUUAUCUAUAAAAUGAGAAUAAUAUCUUUCCUGCAUAUCUCUCAAAGUUGUUGGGAAUUCCUAUCAUGACAAUAUGAAGUAGUUACAAAAUUAUCCUUGCUAUGAUUUAUUUCAUUUUAGUUAUGUUUCAGAUUUUAUUUUUAUUAUUUUUAAUUAAAGGAGAAUGUGAGACUCUUACGUUUAGCAAAAGGGAACAUGACUUAACUAAAGUCCGAAAUAGCACUCUAGAUAUCCUUUUUGUUUAUUUAUUUAUUUUAUGUGGUGCUGAGGUUUGAAUCCAGGGCCUCAUGUGUGCAAGGCAAGUGCUCUUCCACUGAGCUACAACCCCAGCCCACUAGGAUAUCCUUUUUGAAGGAAAGUGAUGAAAUCUACCUGGCCAAGAGCAGGACACCAUGAGUUCCAACAUGAGUUUAGCAUGAAAUUACUUUUGCUAAGGUUACUGAUGCCAAAUCCCAAUAGUCACACUCCAUGACCCAAUUUGAAACCUCAGUGUUCUUGAACUCCAAAGCAUUAACAUUGUUGUUUCACCUCUUUUUUCACCUCUUUCUCUUUGGGAAGUUUCCUCUCCACUGGUUCUCUUCGAUUUCUAAGAUCAUUAUUUCUCCCUUGCUGGUUCCUCUACAUACUCAGUCCUUUAUCUUUGAC